UACGUAGGGUGCGAGCGUUGUCCGGAAUUAUUGGGCGUAAAGAGCUCGUAGGCGGCUUGUCGCGUCGGAUGUGAAAGCCCGGGGCUUAACUCCGGGUCUGCAUUCGAUACGGGCAGGCUAGAGUUCGGUAGGGGAGAUCGGAAUUCCUGGUGUAGCGGUGAAAUGCGCAGAUAUCAGGAGGAACACCAGCGGCGAAGGCGGCAUCCUGGACUGGUCCUGACACUCAGGAGCGAAAGCGUGGGGAGCGAUCCGG
rnacentral:rRNA from 1 species